UAAGGAAUAUUGGACAAUGGUCGCAAGACUGAUCCAGCCAUGCCGCGUGCAGGAUGAAGGUGCUCUGCAUUGUAAACUGCUUUUAUUCGGGAAUAAACCCCUUCACGUGUGGAGGGCUGAAUGUACCGAAAGAAUAAGGGACGGCUAACUUCGUGCCAGCAGCCGCGGUAAUACGAAGGUCCCAAGCGUUAUCCGGAUUUAUUGGGUUUAAAGGGUGCGUAGGCGGGUUGUUAAGUCAGUGGUGAAAGCCUACAGCUUAACUGUAGAAUUGCCAUUGAUACUGACGAUCUUGAGUGUGGUUGAGGUGGGCGGAAUGUAUCAUGUAGCGGUGAAAUGCUUAGAUAUGAUACAGAACACCGAUUGCGAAGGCAGCUCACUAAGCCACUACUGACGCUGAGGC
rnacentral:rRNA from 1 species